UUUUGCGUUGUUGUUCACCGUUCGAUCAUUACCAAUUUUUGUGCCCCCGUGAGUUCAACGCUCAGGUAUGUUGAUGAUAAAUGGAUAUGCGUUAAAAGGUACGUACUCCGGAGUGGUGAAUUGUUGUGGUGAAGUGAUUUGUUGCUGCUAUCUCCUGUUUCGUGAGGGUUCUUGUCGGUACUCAUAUACCGCAGGCAUGAGGGGCUUUCUUUGCAGAACAUUUCAGUGAACCAAGACUGCAGCAUUUUCAAGAUUGCCAUAACCAGCAUCAAUGCAGCUCUCAUGUCAACAUCAGCAUCAAGACAGCUCUGAUAGACCACCUCUUACUGGGUACGUUUCCCCCCCCCCCCCUUUUGAGACACCAUUGAAGGGCCAGUGGUUACGCAGGCAGGCUGGAUAUUACGACACAAUUGGCAUACAUUGGGUGAUGCAGGCAGACUGCUUAGUGUGCACCACUCGUCGUUUAGUCUAUUGAGGUGCUACAAGUGUUGUGUCAGUCUAUUUCCUCUCCGAAAAUAAAAUGUUGGGCUCUACA